rnacentral:rRNA from 1 species
UACGUAGGGCGCAAGCGUUAUCCGGAAUUACUGGGCGUAAAGCGCACGUAGGCGGAUCUUUAAGUCAGGGGUGAAAUCCUGGAGCUCAACUCCAGAACUGCCUUUGAUACUGAGGACCUUGAGUUCGGGAGAGGUGAGUGGAACUGCGAGUGUAGAGGUGAAAUUCGUAGAUAUUCGCAAGAACACCAGUGGCGAAGGCGGCUCACUGGCCCGAUACUGACGCUGAGGCACGAAAGCGUGGGGAGCAAACAGG